UUGAACGCUGGCGGAAUGCUUUACACAUGCAAGUCGAGCGGCAGCGCGGGGGCAACCCUGGCGGCGAGCGGCGAACGGGUGAGUAACAUAUCGGAACGUACCCAGACGUGGGGGAUAACACAUCGAAAGAUGUGCUAAUACCGCAUACGACCUGAGGGUGAAAGGGGGGGAUCGCAAGACCUCUCGCGUUUGGAGCGGCCGAUAUCGGAUUAGCUAGUUGGUGAGGUAAAGGCUCACCAAGGCGACGAUCCUUAGCUGGUCUGAGAGGAUGAUCAGCCACACUGGGACUGAGACACGGCCCAGACUCCUACGGGAGGCAGCAGUGGGGAAUAUUGGACAAUGGGCGCAAGCCUGAUCCAGCCAUGCCGCGUGAGUGAAGAAGGCCUUCGGGUUGUAAAGCUCUUUCAGACGGAAAGAAAUCGGGCGGGUGAAUAGCCUGCCUGGAUGACGGUACUGUCAGAAGAAGCACCGGCUAACUACGU
rnacentral:rRNA from 1 species